AUGAGAAGAUUUUCAAAACUUUCCGUUUGGUUGUUAUGGCGACUAGAGGUCUGCAUGAAUCCCUAAACUUCGAUGAACGGAAGAGAUGUCAUUUGGACGAAAAAGUUGACAUACGAAGGAUGACGCAUGACAAAAGGAUGUCCUUGAAAAUCAUAUAAAGAUACUUCAAAUUCAUCAAGACUGCCAAAGCAGUUGUGUCCAUCUGGGAAGAAGAGGUCUUUACCAUACUGUAAAAUUUCUAAUAACUUCGAAUCCACGGUGACAGAUAAAUGGCGAAUGCCCCCACCACACUGACUCCGAACCUGUUUUUUAUUAUUUACAGCGCUUCUAAUGCAGUUUAGACUUCCGAGGAAAAAUGAUGUCUACAUCAGCAACUAACACACAGCUUUAUUUGUGUUGCAUGAGUUAUGUAUCUUUAAAGUAGCUUUUAUAACUCUUUGUUGUUUUUUAUACCUAUUAUGUUCAGUACAAUCAUACACAAAUGUACAGUAGAUGGUUUCAGAGCUUUAAAAUAUGUUGAUUUUGUUAUUUUCAUGCAGACUCAAGCUUAAUUGUAUUGUAUUUUGUUAAUUUGAGCUGAGCUGAGCUAUGAUAUGUGCUGUAGUGUACUGUACUGUAUUUGAAGUUACUUAUUAGAGCAUCAGGGAUGGGUCAAUUACAUUUCAAAAUGUAAUAAUUAAAUUACCAUUACAACUUAAUUGGUGCUUUAAAUUACAUGUUACUUUACACACUUUUUUGACAGUACUUUUAUUUAUAAAUUUAUUUAUAUAUAUAACCUAUUAGUGAAGUUAUAAAAAAAUAUAGUAUCUGUUAUAUCAGAAGUAUAAUUUGUAACUGAAAGUCACAAUGUCCAUCAAUGAUAGAUGGUUUUUUUUUAAUUUAUAAAUCUCUAUGAGAUUUUGAAAUAUGUUGUCAAAUGAACAUAUGUUAUGUUUUAUAGAUAUCAGAUUAAAACCUCACCAAAUAUACACUGAGAAUGGUAGUUUUAAUAUAAUAUAAUAGUGACAUAAAGGAGCUUCAAAGGAAAAAGAGACUUAGUUUUGUUUAAAGUUUCAGAAAUCUUUGAGUGAAUUUGCAACAUGUUGCCAGAAAUUGGUCAAUUUUCUUUCCUUUCAGCAUGAACACAUCUUAAUUAUGCAAUUAUCCAGUAAUAAAUUAAAUGCUUUUCCUAAAUUUGAUAUCCGUUUCGACUGCAUAAGAGGGUCUGGCCAACAACAGAACAAUGCAUUAUAGGGCAUUACACAUUACUUAUUGCAUUAUCCCGUUGCUGAACAGCAAUGACAUUCAAUGAAAAGAAACUUUCUGCAAGAGGAAUGUUCUUGAAACCAAGCAUACUAUCAGCAUGAUCAGUAGUCCAGUUUCAACACAAUACCUGUCCCGGUUUCUUCAAUGCUGUUUUUAUUAAAAUAGUUCUGGCAUUUGGUUUUUCUUUUUUGGUAAUAUAUACAAGUAAGAAAUAUAAUUGAAGAAAGACAGAUAUGCAGUAUGAAUGUUUGUAUUAAUAUUUUCUUACAGUUUCGGCCAAAAAAGUGACGAAAUAUUAUAAUAUAUCCGUGAUAUUCAUUGCUUAUAUUCUUACUGCAUGGCGCAAUUUUGUCUCUUGAAUUAUUUGUGUUUUUAUUCGCAGCAAAUCUGCAAAUAUUUUAUUUAUUUAAGUAAUAAUAACACAUUUCAAAAGAUCAGUUUCUGUGCUAUCUUUUGGU